rnacentral:rRNA from 1 species
GAUGAACGCUGACAGAAUGCUUAGCACAUGCAAGUCAACUUGAACUUCGGUUUGGGUGGCGGACGGGUGAGUAACGCGUACAGAACUUGCCUCACAGUUAGGGACAACAUUUGGAAACGAAUGCUAAUACCUGAUAUUAUGAUUUUAGGGCAUCCUAGAAUUAUGAAAGCUAUAUGCGCUGUGAGAGAGCUUUGCGUCCCAUUAGCUAGUUGGAGAGGUAACGGCUCACCAAGGCGAUGAUGGGUAGCCGGCCUGAGAGGGUGAACGGCCACAAGGGGACGGAGACACGGCCCUUACUCCUACGGGAGGCAGCAGUGGGGAAUAUUGGACAAUGGACCAAGAGUCUGAUCCAGCAAUUCUGUGUGCACGAUGAAGUUUUUCGGAAUGUAAAGUGCUUUCAGUUGGGAAGAAAAAAAUGACGAUACCAACAGAAGAAGUGACGGCUAAAUACGUG